rnacentral:misc_RNA from 1 species
UUUUCUCUUUUUUUUUUUUUCAUUUGGAUAGGAUAAAAACAAAUGGCUGAAAAAUCUAAACAUCAUCCUACACAAACACUAAUAAAGAUCCAGCAUGAAAUAUAACUACUUGAAAGAUCCUAAAGACUGCAAUUUAGUGACUUGUAAAUUUUGUGAGAAAACCACUAAGGGGGGAAUCUUUAGAGCAAAACAACAUCAAGUAAGAAAGUUUAAAAAUGCAGCGCCAUGCUUAAAAUGCCCUCCAGAUGUGAAGCAAGAAUUGGAAAUCUAUAUGAGUAAUAAAAAAGCAAAAACAAUGGAAUCAUAUGGCUCAUUACCUGAUUUAGGUGAUAAGCCAAUUGGAGAUGAUGUUGAUAAAAUUGAAGAUGAAAUGGACCAUGAAUUGAAUGUUAGUGGAAAAAGGGUGGGAAUGGGAAAGAAUAGAAUAGAAGUAGCUAGUGGCAAUAAGAAGGCAAAAUCAAUGGGAAAGGGUCCAAUGAAUUUAUGUCUGAUUCAAAAACUAGAUAAAAUAGUUCAACAUGGCAAAAAAGGAGGGAAGCUUAGACAAACAAGCAUGAAUGAUGCAUGUGACAAAGAAGCAAGAGUUAGAAUAAUUCAGUAUAUUGCUCGAUUUUUUUACCAAGCAGGCAUACCAUUCAAUGCUGCUCAUUUAGACUCCUUUAAGUGGAUGAUUAAAGCUAUUGGCAGGUAUGGACCAAAUUUAAAACCUCCAAGCUAUAAUGAGUUGAGGGUUCCGCUUUUAAAAAAGGAACUAGCUUACAUAGAAGAUUUAUUGAAGGCACACAAGGAUGAAUGGGCAAAGCAUGGUUGU